rnacentral:rRNA from 1 species
AUUGAACGCUGGCGGCAUGCCUUACACAUGCAAGUCGAACGGCAGCACGGGUGCUUGCACCUGGCGGCGAGUGGCGAACGGGUGAGUAAUACAUCGGAACAUGUCCUGUAGUGGGGGAUAGCCCGGCGAAAGCCGGAUUAAUACCGCAUACGAUCUACGGAUGAAAGCGGGGGACCUUCGGGCCUCGCGCUAUAGGGUUGGCCGAUAGCUGAUUAGCUAGUUGGUGGGGUAAAGGCCUACCAAGGCGACGACCAGUAGCUGGUCUGAGAGGACGACCAGCCACACUGGGACUGAGACACGGCCCAGACUCCUACGGGAGGCAGCAGUGGGGAAUGUUGGACAAUGGGCGAAAGCCUGAUCCAGCAAUGCCGCGUGUGUGAAGAAGGCCUUCGGGUUGUAAAGCACUUUUGUCCGGAAAGAAAUCCUUGGCUCUAAUACAGUCGGGGGAUGACGGUACCGGAAGAAUAAGCACCGGCUAACUACGUG